UAGGCCAUAUGUUCAGGGAUCAUUUCUAUACUUCCUUACUACAGAGAUUUCUCUGAUCGUGUAGAGCACCCAAAACCACGAGGAGGAGGAGCCAGGGCAUCCCUCUCCUGAGAAGGAAGUUAGUUCUAGGAUUGCUUUUGCAACUACCUUUAACCAAUGAUGAUAGUUCUCUUCUUCUGGAAGAGGGAGAGAGAGUGCAGUCUGAGUGG
rnacentral:snoRNA from 1 species